UCUCACUCUAGCGAGACUGCCGUUGACAAAACGGAGGAAGGCGGGGACGACGUCAAAUCAUCAUGCCCCUUAUGUCCUGGGCUACACACGUAAUACAAUGGCGGUCAACAGAGGGAAGCAAAACCGCGAGGCGGAGCAAAUCCCUAAAAGCCGUCUCAGUUCGGAUUGCAGGCUGCAACUCGCCUGCAUGAAGUUGGAAUUGCUAGUAAUCGUGGAUCAGCAUGCCACGGUGAAUACGUUCCCGGGCCUUGUACACACCGCCCGUCACACCAUGAGAGUCGGGAACACCCGAAGUCCGUAGUCUAACCGCAAGGAGGGCGCGGCCGAAAGUGGGCCUGAUAAUUGGGGUGAAGUCGUAACAAGGUAACCGUAUA
rnacentral:rRNA from 1 species